GUCUGUUCUGUCGGAUGUUGUGUUACUACCUUUUGGAUGUUACCAGUUCCUGUAUCUGAUCAAUGGGUUAGCCGACUAACUUUUGGCAGGCUUUGGUAGACUUCUACUGCAUCCUGCUUUUUUCAAGAGAAAAGCCUCCAAAGAAUCUGCAGGAGAAUUUCUCAACAUUUGCUCUCUCCUUGUAUUCCAUUUUAAGCGAACCAUCACCAUCUAUAGCAAAGCUGGGAAUCUUCUUGAUCAUCUUCAAGUUCCCCUCAAUGUCUUUAUGAUCUUCCACCUCACAGUCAAAGACAAAGAAGGCUUGUGCCCCAUAAAGAAUGGCUGUGACUACA